UACGUAGGGGGCAAGCGUUGUCCGGAAUCAUUGGGCGUAAAGCGCGUGUAGGCGGUUCGGUAAGUCCGCUGUGAAAGUCGGGGGCUCAACCCUCGGAUGCCGGUGGAUACUGUCGGGCUUGAGUACGGAAGAGGCGAGUGGAAUCCUGGUGUAGCGGUGAAAUGCGCAGAUAUCAGGAGGAACACCAAUUGCGAAGGCAGCUCGCUGGGACGUUACUGACGCUGAGACGCGAAAGCGUGGGGAGCAAA
rnacentral:rRNA from 1 species